GAUGAACGCUGGCGGCGUGCCUAAUACAUGCAAGUCGAGCGAAGCGGGGGCGGGUGAGUAACACGUGGAUAACCUCCUAUAAGACUGGGAUAACUUCGGGAAACCGGAGCUAAACCGGAUACUUAUAGAUGGAUCCGCGCUGCAUUAGCUAGUUGUUAAGGUAACGGCUUACCAAGACAACGAUGCAUAACCGACAUGAGAGGGUGAUAGGCCACAUAGUAACUGCGACACGGUCCAUACUCCAACGGAUGACAGCAGUAGGGAAUCGUCCGCAAAGGGCGAAAGCCUGACGGAGCAACGCCGCGUGAGUGAGGAAAGUAUUCGGAGCGUGAAUCUCUGGUAUUAGGGAAGCGGUACCUAAUCAGAAAUCCACGGCUAAAUACGUGCCAGCAGCCGCGGUAAUUC
rnacentral:rRNA from 1 species